rnacentral:rRNA from 1 species
UACAGAGGGGGCUAGCGUUGUUCGGAAUUACUGGGCGUAAAGGGCGCGUAGGUGGCCUGUUAAGUCGAACGUGAAAUCCCCGGGCUCAACCCGGGAACUGCGUCCGAGACUGGCAGGCUCGAAUCCGGGAGAGGGAUGUGGAAUUCCAGGUGUAGCGGUGAAAUGCGUAGAUAUCUGGAGGAACACCGGUGGCGAAGGCGGCAGUCCUGGACCGGUAUUGACGCUGAGGCGCGAAAGCCAGGGGAGCAAAGCGGG